GGUGGCUCAGAGGUAGAGUACUUGCCUUGCAUGCAUGAGGCCCUGGGUUUGAUUCCUCAGCACCA
rnacentral:tRNA from 1 species